AAUAUUGGACAAUGGGGGCAACCUUGAUCCAUCCAUGCCGCGUGCGUGAAGAUGGCCUUAGGGUUGUAAAGCGUUUUCACUGGUGAAGAUGAUGACGGUAGCCAGAGAAGAAGCCCCGAUAACUCCGUGCCAGCAGCCGCGGUAAUACGGAGGGGGCAAGCGUUGUUCGGAAUUACUGGGCGUAAAGGGCGCGUAGGCGGGAUGUCAAGUUAGGGGUGAAAGGCCUGGGCUCAACCCAGGAACUGCCUCUAAAACUGGCAAUCUAGAGUCCGGGAGAGGAUGGCGGAAUUCCCAGUGUAGAGGUGAAAUUCGUAGAUAUUGGGAAGAACACCAGUGGCGAAGGCGGCCAUCUGGUCCGGCACUGACGCUGAGGCGCGAAAGCGUGGGGAGCAAACAGGAUUAGAUACCCUGGUAGUCCACGCCGUA
rnacentral:rRNA from 1 species